AUUGAACGCUGGCGGCAUGCCUUACACAUGCAAGUCGAACGGUAACGGGCCUUCGGGUGCCGACGAGUGGCGAACGGGUGAGUAAUACAUCGGAACGUGCCCGAUCGUGGGGGAUAACGAGGCGAAAGCUUUGCUAAUACCGCAUACGAUCUACGGAUGAAGGCAGGGGACCGCAAGGCCUUGCGCGGACGGAGCGGCCGAUGGCAGAUUAGGUAGUUGGUGGGAUAAAAGCUUACCAAGCCGACGAUCUGUAGCUGGUCUGAGAGGAUGAUCAGCCACACUGGGACUGAGACACGGCCCAGACUCCUACGGGAGGCAGCAGUGGGGAAUUUUGGACAAUGGGCGCAAGCCUGAUCCAGCCAUGCCGCGUGCAGGAUGAAGGCCUUCGGGUUGUAAACUGCUUUUGUACGGAACGAAAAGCCUUCUUUUAAUACAGGAGGGUCAUGACGGUACCGUAAGAAUAAGCACCGGCUAACUACGUG
rnacentral:rRNA from 1 species